rnacentral:rRNA from 1 species
AGUUUGAUCCUGGCUCAGGACGAACGCUGGCGGCGUGCCUAACACAUGCAAGUCGAACGGAACUGUUUUGAAAGAUUUCUUCGGAAUGAAUUUGAUUUAGUUUAGUGGCGGACGGGUGAGUAACGCGUGAGUAACCUGCCUUCAAGAGGGGGAUAACAUUCUGAAAAGAAUGCUAAUACCGCAUGACAUAUCGGAACCACAUGGUUCUGAUAUCAAAGAUUUUAUCGCUUGAAGAUGGACUCGCGUCCGAUUAGUUAGUUGGUGAGGUAACGGCUCACCAAGACCGCGAUCGGUAGCCGGACUGAGAGGUUGAACGGCCACAUUGGGACUGAGACACGGCCCAGACUCCUACGGGAGGCAGCAGUGGGGGAUAUUGCGCAAUGGGGGCAACCCUGACGCAGCAACGCCGCGUGAAGGAUGAAGGUUUUCGGAUUGUAAACUUCUUUUAUUAAGGACGAAAAAUGACGGUACUUAAUGAAUAAGCUCCGGCUAACUACGUGCCAGCAGCCGCGGUAAUACGUAGGGAGCAGGCGUUGUCCGGAUUUACUGGGUGUAAAGGGUGCGUAGGCGGCUUUGCAAGUCAGAUGUGAAAUCUAUGGGCUCAACCCAUAAACUGCAUUUGAAACUGUAGAGCUUGAGUGAAGUAGAGGCAGGCGGAAUUCCCCGUGUAGCGGUGAAAUGCGUAGAGAUGGGGAGGAACACCAGUGGCGAAGGCGGCCUGCUGGGCUUUAACUGACGCUGAGGCACGAAAGCGUGGGUAGCAGACAGGAUUAGAUACCCUGGUAGUCCACGCUGUAAACGAUGAUUACUAGGUGUGGGGGGUCUGACCCCUUCCGUGCCGGAGUUAACACAAUAAGUAAUCCACCUGGGGAGUACGGCCGCAAGGUUGAAACUCAAAUGAAUUGACGGAAGGGCGA